GCUCCGUUGGUGUAGUCCGGCCAAUCAUUUCGGCCUUUCGAGCCGAUGACCAGGGUUCAAAUCCCUGACGGAGCA
rfam:Halostagnicola larsenii XH-48, complete genome.